UUAUUUUUUUUAUUAUUAAAAUUUAAUAUAUAAGUGAAGAAGCUUAUAUUUUUCUAUAGGACAAAAAGACCCUAAUGAUUUUUAUUUUUAAAAUUUUUAUAAAAUUUUUAAAAUUUUUAAAUAGUUUAUUAAAAUUUUACUGGGGCGGUAAUUAAAUAAAUUUAACUUUAAUUUUAUACUGAUUUUAAUCUAUUUUAUGAUCCUUUAUAAUGAUUAAAAGUAAAAAAUACCAUAGGGAUAACAGGUUAAUU
rnacentral:rRNA from 1 species